UCGAAUCCUAGAAAGCAUGACCGCGGACAAGUUGCUAAUCGGUGGUAUGUGUCUUGCUGCCUUCGGGUGGCUUGUCACCCCCACCAGGCAGGUUGAGGGACGUGCGCCCCUAGCUUGCCGGAUCAAACGAACCCCGGCGCGGGCAGCGCCAAGGAAUAGAAAUAGAUGUGUUGUCCCCGCUGCCCUUCAUCGGGCGGCGAGGGGCGAAGGUCAAUUGAUGCAAUAAUGACUCUCGGCAACGGAUAUCUCGGCUCUCGCAUCGAUGAAGAACGUAGCGAAAUGCGAUACUUGGUGUGAAUUGCAGAAUCCCGUGAACCAUCAAGUCUUUGAACGCAAGUUGCGCCCGAAGCCAUUAGGCCAAGGGCACGUCUGCCUGGGCGUCAUGUAUUGUGUUGCCCCCGCCCAUCCGAGCGUGGGGAGCGAAGCAUGGCCUCCCGUGAGUUUCAACUCGUGGAUGGCUUAAAAACGAGCCUCAAGGCGGCUAUGACGUCGCGACAAGUGGUGAGCAGGAGGCCUUUGAGCCUCGGUUCUUUGCGAGUCGCACGAACGCUGUCCCUGUUGUGCCCGAAAGUAACUCGAACGGAGCGUUGCGACGCUGCCAACAUCGA
rnacentral:misc_RNA from 1 species